rnacentral:rRNA from 1 species
GGGUUGUGAGGUUAAGCGACUAAGCGUACACGGUGGAUGCCCUGGCAGUCAGAGGCGAUGAAGGACGUGCUAAUCUGCGAUAAGCGUCGGUAAGGUGAUAUGAACCGUUAUAACCC